rnacentral:rRNA from 1 species
UGGGGAAUCUUGCACAAUGGGGGCAACCCUGAUGCAGCGACGCCGCGUGAGCGAUGAAGCCCUUCGGGGCGUAAAGCUCUUUCGACCGGAACGAUAAUGACGGUACCGGGAGAAGAAGCUGCGGCUAACUACGUGCCAGCAGCCGCGGUAAUACGUAGGCAGCAAGCGUUGUUCGGAGUUACUGGGCGUAAAGAGUGCGUAGGCGGUUUUCUAAGUUCGGUGUGAAAUCUCCCGGCUUAACUGGGAGGGUGCGCCGAAGACUGGGAAGCUGGAGUGUGGGAAAGGCAGGCGGAAUUCCUGGUGUAGCGGUGAAACGCGUAGAUAUCAGGAGGAACACCUGCGGUGUAGACGGCUUGCUAGACCAUAACUGACGCUGAGGCACGAAAGCGUGGGUAGCAAACA